AUGAGCAAUGGCUUACUCAAUCCAUCAUUCCAGAUAUUUGCCUACCUAUGCCUUGCACUGAUAGCUCUCUUGUUUCCCGUGGUGUCUGCCGACUGGAAAGGCUCUGAACAGUUCAGCGUAAGCUGUGGUACCACCAGCAAUGCCAGUGAUUCUGAUGGUCGAACAUGGUAUGGGGACGCUAACUAUGGGUUAGAUUUUCCUGGCUUUUCAGCCAAGGCAUCAUACCAGGACCCUUCACUUCCUUCCCCAGUACCUUACAUGACUGCUCGCAUCCUCACUUCGAAUUUCACAUAUCCUUUUGGGUUUGGCCCUGGCCGCAUGUUCCUUCGGCUCUACUUCUAUCCAACUUCUUAUGCUGAACAUACUGCUGCAGAUGCCUUGUUUAGUGUCACUGCAGGGAUCCAUAGCCUUCUAAGUGACUUCAAUCCUUUCCAGACUGCUCAGGCCAUGGGUCGCACUUACCUCAUCCGUGAAUACUCCUUGAAUGUUACUUCAGAUCAACUCAAUGUCACAUUUUCCCCAUCAACACACCAUGCUGGGUCUUAUGCGUUUGUGAAUGGCAUCGAAAUUGUGCACACUCCUGACAUUUUCACGAUGCCAGUGCCAAGAUUCACGAAUGGUGGGAACCCAGAUCUAUUCCCAAUUUCCUCUAGCAUAGCCCUUGAAACAAUGUACCGUCUUAAUGUUGGGGGUACGACGCUCCCUGCGAGAUAUGAUAAUGGCUUUUACCGCUCAUGGGAAGAUCACGGCCGCUAUAUUUCUGGAUCUUCAGUUGGCUUGAAUUUGUUCAAAAACAGAAAUGUCACAAUCAGUUACCCACUUCGCAUGCCGGAUUACAUAGCACCAAUCUAUAUCUAUGAGACAGCAGUAUCCAUGGGGAGAGAUGCAGGUAUCAACAUGGGGUACAAUCUUACAUGGAUUUUGCUUGUCGAUGCAGGGUUCUACUACCUUCUGAGGUUCCAUUUCUGUGAGAUCCAGUAUCCAAUAACCAAGGUAAACCAGAGGAGUUUCUUCAUAUACAUCAACAACCAGACAGCAGUGGAGCAGAUGGAUGUCAUUCUUUGGAGCGGAGGAAUCGGUAUACCAGUUUACACCAACUACGUUGUUGUCACAGUUGGUCAUGGUCAGACAGAUCUGUGGGUAGCACUCCACCCUGAUCUCAGUAGCCGACCACAAUAUUAUGAUGCAAUUCUAAAUGGCCUGGAAGUAUUCAAGCUACAGGAUAACAGCAAUAAUAAUCUUGCAGGUGUCAACCCUACACCCAAGCAAAAUCGUGAUAGGGCAGCAUCUCAUGGUCAAGAUAAAACAAAUGCUAGAAUCCCAGCGAUCAUUGGUGGUGGAGCUGCUUCUGGUGUCUUGGCUUUGUUCAUUUCCAGUUUCUGCAUUUAUGUUAUGUACAGGCGGAAGAAAACUAACUACACUCAUGGCAAGACCAAUGGGCAUCCUCCCAACGGAGAUAGAGAAUUGCUAUUGGCCACCUCGCACUCGAAGGAUUUGAAGCUUUGCCACAACUUCUCGUUCAAGCAAAUCCAGGAAGCCACCAACAACUUCGAUGAGACCUUUCUCCUAGGCAAAGGUGGGUUUGGGAAUGUAUACCACGGUCAGAUAGCUGGUAGGCUGAAGGUGGCAAUCAAGCGUGGUAACCCUCAGCCCCAGCAGGGCAUCCAGGAAUUUCAGAAUGAAAUUGAGAUGUUGACCAAUCUCCGGCAUCGCCACCUUGUGUCCACUAGUAGAAAAAGGGUCAAAUGUAAAGCACAUUAG
rnacentral:rRNA from 1 species